AUUGAACGCUGGCGGCAGGCUUAACACAUGCAAGUCGAGCGGGGGGAUGGUGCUUGCACUAUUACUUAGCGGCGGACGGGUGAGUAAUGCUUAGGAAUCUGCCUAGUAGUGGGGGACAACGUCUGGAAAGGGAUGCUAAUACCGCAUACGUCCUACGGGAGAAAGCAGGGGAUCUUCGGACCUUGCGCUAAUAGAUGAGCCUAGGUCGGAUUAGCUAGUUGGGGGGGUAAAGGGCUACCCAGGCGACGAUCUGUAGCGGGUCUGAGAGGAUGAUCCGCCACACUGGGACUGAGAAACGGCCCAGACUCCUAAGGGAGGCAGCCGUGGGGAAUAUUGGGCAAAGGGGGGAAAGCUGAUCCAGCCAUGGCGGGGGUGUGAAGGAAGCCUUAUGGUUGUAAAACCCUUUUAGCGAGGAGGAGGCUACUUUAGUUAAUACCUGGGGAUAGUGGACGUUACCCGCAGAAUAAGCACCGGCUAACUCUGUGCCAGCAGCCGCCGUAA
rnacentral:rRNA from 1 species